CGUAGGACCCAAGCGUUAUCCGGAAUUACUGGGCGUAAAGAGUUGCGUAGGUGGCAAAGUAAGCAGGGUAUGAAAUCGUGUGGCUCAACCAUACACCCAUAUCUUGAACUGCUUAGCUAGAGGAUGAGAGAGGUUAUUGGAAUUCCUAGUGUAGGAGUGAAAUCCGUAGAUAUUAGGAGGAACACCGAUGGCGUAAGCAGAUAACUGGCUCAUUCCUGACACUCAGGCACGAAAGCGUGGGGAGCGACCGGGAUUAGAUACCCCGUUAGUCCACGCCGUAAACGAUGGAUGCUAGCUGUUACCCGUAUCGACCCGGGUAGUAGCGAAGCUAACGCGUUAAGCAUCCCGCCUGUGGAGUACGGCCGCAAGGCUA
rnacentral:rRNA from 1 species